UCGUGCGAGUACGACGGCGGCACGGGCGAUCAGCAGCGGUGGGCCGCCAUGUGCGCUGGGUCCGCGGGCCCAGGAGUGCGUGCUGUAGAGCUGCGAACCUGUGCCUAUUUCGAUUAAAGUGGGACAUCAACACUAAUAAGAACGCCACCAAAGAAAGCAGAACCCAGGGCUCUCCAUUGGAACUUAAGAGCGUACCCCAGCACCGGUACGACGGUCACCUGGAGGCCCAGGAGUCAUCAGGACAAAUAACCCUGAAUAUAUAUGAAUGAUAUCUAAUGCGUUUGUGAUGACGGAGCAAUUAUGUCAAAAUGAAACAUAU